CUCGUAAGCGGUUCGUCGCGUCCGGUGUGAAAGUCCAUCGCUUAACGGUGGAUCCGCGCCGGGUACGGGCGGGCUUGAGUGCGGUAGGGGAGACUGGAAUUCCCGGUGUAACGGUGGAAUGUGUAGAUAUCGGGAAGAACACCAAUGGCGAAGGCAGGUCUCUGGGCCGUUACUGACGCUGAGGAGCGAAAGCGUGGGGAGCGAACA
rnacentral:rRNA from 1 species